GGUUGCGAUCAUACCAGCACUAGUGCAUCGGAUCCCAUCAGAACUCCGCAGUUAAGCGUGCUUGGGCGAGAGUAGUACUAGGAUGGGUGACCCCCUGGGAAGUCCUCGUGUUGCAACCC
rnacentral:rRNA from 1 species